AGUGAACGCUGGCGGUAGGCCUAACACAUGCAAGUCGAACGGCAGCACAGUAAGAGCUUGCUCUUACGGGUGGCGAGUGGCGGACGGGUGAGGAAUACAUCGGAAUCUACUUUUUCGUGGGGGAUAACGUAGGGAAACUUACGCUAAUACCGCAUACGACCUACGGGUGAAAGCAGUGGAUCUUCGGACCUUGCGCGAUUGAAUGAGCCGAUGUCGGAUUAGCUAGUUGGCGGGGUAAAGGCCCACCAAGGCGACGAUCCGUAGCUGGUCUGAGAGGAUGAUCAGCCACACUGGAACUGAGACACGGUCCAGGCUCCUACGGGAGGCAGCAGUGGGGAAUAUUGGGCAAUGGGCGCAAGCCUGAUCCAGCCAUACCGAGUGGGUGAAGAAGGCCUUCGGGUUGUAAAGCCCUUUUGUUGGGAAAGAAAAGCAGCAGGUUAAUACCACGCUGUUCUGACGGUACCCAAAGAAUAAGCACCGGCUAACUUCGUG
rnacentral:rRNA from 1 species